rnacentral:rRNA from 1 species
CGUAGGUGAACCUGCUUCCGUAGGUGAACCUGAGGAGGGAUCAUUACUGAGUUUCCAACUCCCAAACCCCUGUGAACAUACCUUAAUGUUGCCUCGGCGGAUCAGCCCGCUCCCCGUAAAACGGGACGGCCCGCCAGAGGACCCAAACUGUAAUGUUUGUUAUUGUAACUUCUGAGUAAAACAAACAAAUAAAUCAAAACUUUCAACAACGGAUCUUUUGGUUCUGGCAUCGAUGAAGAACGCAGCAAAAUGCGAUAAGUAAUGUGAAUUGCAGAAUUCUGUGAAUCAUCGAAUCUUUGAACGCACAUUGCGCCCGCUGGUAUUCCGGCGGGCAUGCCUGUUCGAGUGUCAUUUCAACCGUCAAGCCCCCGGGUUUGGUGUUGGGGAUCGGCUCAGCCUCUCGGCGGUGCCGCCCCCGAAAUACAUUGGCGGUCUCGCUGCAGCCUCCAUUGCGUAGUAGCUAACACCUCGCAACUGGAACGCGGCGCGCCCACGCCGUAAAACCCCAACUUUUGAAUGUUGACCUCGGAUCAUGUAGAA